GGUGUAUAGAACACCGUGUAACUGUUCAUUUUGAUACAUUGGCUAUGAAUUUCUUGGAUCUGGCUGUGUAACCUUGGGCAAGUUGUGUAGCCUCUCUGAGCCUUCAGUUCCUUAUCUGUCAAAGUGGGAACAGAUACCAACCUCACUGUGAGAAUUAAAGAUAAUGUGUGUAAAACUUUGAGCUCUUCUUAGAACUCAGUAAGAGUUGGGAAAAUGGGGAAUUUCUGUCCUGCCCUCCUUGCAGGGCUGGUGUGAGGACUGGAAACAAAUGUGGGUGCUAGACAAAGGAGGGCUGCGACUAUUCUGGUAUCCUUUUCAGGGACUUCAGAUGCUGAACAAGAGGUUGAUGGAGUGAAGAGUGAGGUGAAGAAAAGCAAUAAUAGAACCAAGAUGAGAAUCGUCUCAAGUACAUUGGCCUACAAAGGACCAGAUUCUGGUUCAAGAUGUUGACGUACCCAGUGGAGAUCCUGAAGGAAUGUGAUGCUUAAAGUCAGAGUUGGGAAGAAACUAGGAGGUUUUACUGGGACUCAGGGUUCAGAACGAAGGAUGGAAGAAGAAUUGGGGGAAAGCGAGGUGUCUGCCGAGCCUGCCAAGUGCCUGGAACUGGCAGGUGGAAGAAAUGCAGCUGAGUUUGCCUUUUUAUAAAGGCUUACCUGAAAGCUCCAUCCAGUGAGGCACAUAGCCAUCCCGACUGCAAGGGAGUCUGGGAAGAGCCUCAAGAAUAUAUCCUUAGACAUGGGGCUGAAUGUUUGAUGAGACCUUUUCCAACUCUGAGAUGCUAGAGAUCUAUGUUUUUCAUCCUGGGCACCCUGGAACUGGAAGGAAUAUUCUUUCCCAUUGGAGGUAGGGAAACAGAAUGAACCUGUACUUUGAGAAAUAAUCCACCAGGGAAGAUCCUUGUUUACACAAAUAAUUACCACACGUGAUAAUAUGUGAGUAAUAUAAUAGGUGGGUGCUGUAAUAGAGGGGCAUAUAAGGGGUGCAGGAGGGCGUGUAUGAAUUGGAGGGGGUGGUGCAGAAGGUUGCGAAGCUUGGACUGAAGCAGAGGCAGAGGGAGGGCUUGGAGUGGCUGUGGAAAGAAAAAAGGGAAUGAACCAGAACAGCAUCAGUGUUGAUGUUUCUGAGGCAGAAGGAGCAUCUGGUAGGCUUGAGCUGGGAGAAGGAAGGGAAUAAUUGAGAAUGACUCCUGGGUGUCUAGCUUGGGAUACACAUAACAC